rnacentral:rRNA from 1 species
UACAGAGGGUGCGAGCGUUGUCCGGAAUCACUGGGCGUAAAGGGCGCGUAGGCGGUCGCGUAAGCGUGUGGUGAAAGCCCGGGGCUCAACCCCGGGUCGGCCAUGCGAACUGCGGGACUGGAGCAGAUCAGAGGCAGGCGGAAUUCCGGGUGUAGCGGUGGAAUGCGUAGAGAUCCGGAAGAACACCGGUGGCGAAGGUGGCCUGCUGGGCAGUAGCUGACGCUGAAGCGCGACAGCGUGGGGAGCAAACAGG